CGUUAACUGUGCCAACAGAGUAUCAGUUGUCUGAACAUGGUCAUGGCAGGAUGUAAAGUGAAUAUGUAAAAAAAUUAAGUUAAAAAACAAACAAACAUGGAAUUGCGUGUGAGGAGAUUUCUGAGUGAGAAAACUAAGAAACGAAGACAAAAGUCUGGUGACCUGAGUUUCUUCAGAAACAAGGAAUUGUUCUUGGAUUAUGCUUUUGCGCCCCUUUCAGGUGUAGCACAAAAGAGUGAGUUUACAUCAGAUUAUUCAUUCCGAAUGGCUAUUUUUAUUUGUUUAUACUAUUAAUGAACUGUCUCUGAGGUAUUGAAAUCACCUCCUAUUACUGAAAUGGGAAUAAAUUUGUACCUUGACAUCUAAUACUUUGAUUUUUAUGAAACUGGAUGUAUCAGAGGUUGGUACGUACAUGUUUAGGAUUGUAAUGUCUUCUUUGUUAAUUGUUCUUUUGAUCAAAGUGAAGUGUCAUUCUAUAUCUCUUCUGAAUAAUUUUAGAUUGACAUUUAUAUUGUCAUGUAUUAGGAUAGCAGCAACUUUUUGUUUCUUGGUCCUAUUUGCUUGGACUAAUUUUUUUUCAUACUUCACUCUCAAGUAGCACCAAUCCUUGAAGUUAAGAUGAGGGGUUUUUUUU
rnacentral:lncRNA from 1 species